GGGGAAUUUUCCGCAAUGGGCGCAAGCCUGACGGAGCAACGCCGCGUGAGGGAUGAAGGCCUCUGGGCUGUAAACCUCUUUUCUCAAGGAAGAAGAUCUGACGGUACUUGAGGAAUAAGCCGCGGCUAAUUCCGUGCCAGCAGCCGCGGUAAUACGGGAGUGGCAAGCGUUAUCCGGAAUUAUUGGGCGUAAAGCGUCCGCAGGCGGCCUUGCAAGUCUGUUGUUAAAGCGUGGAGCUUAACUCCAUUUCAGCAAUGGAAACUACAAGGCUAGAGUGUGGUAGGGGCAGAGGGAAUUCCCGGUGUAGCGGUGAAAUGCGUAGAUAUCGGGAAGAACACCGGUGGCGAAGGCGCUCUGCUGGGCCAUAACUGACGCUCAUGGACGAAAGCCAGGGGAGCGAAAGGGAUUAGAUACCCCUGUAGUC
rnacentral:rRNA from 1 species